GGGGGCGGGGGUGACUAUACAUGCAAGUCGAGCGAAUGGAUUAAGAGCUUGCUCUUAUGAAGUUAGCGGCGGACGGGUGAGUAACACGUGGGUAACCUGCCCAUAAGACUGGGAUAACUCCGGGAAACCGGGGCUAAUACCGGAUAACAUUUUGAACCGCAUGGUUCGAAAUUGAAAGGCGGCUUCGGCUGUCACUUAUGGAUGGACCCGCGUCGCAUUAGCUAGUUGGUGAGGUAACGGCUCACCAAGGCAACGAUGCGUAGCCGACCUGAGAGGGUGAUCGGCCACACUGGGACUGAGACACGGCCCAGACUCCUACGGGAGGCAGCAGUAGGGAAUCUUCCGCAAUGGACGAAAGUCUGACGGAGCAACGCCGCGUGAGUGAUGAAGGCUUUCGGGUCGUAAAACUCUGUUGUUAGGGAAGAACAAGUGCUAGUUGAAUAAGCUGGCACCUUGACGGUACCUAACCAGAAAGCCACGGCUAACUACGUGCCAGCAGCCGCGGUAAUACGUAGGUGGCAAGCGUUAUCCGGAAUUAUUGGGCGUAAAGCGCGCGCAGGUGGUUUCUUAAGUCUGAUGUGAAAGCCCACGGCUCAACCGUGGAGGGUCAUUGGAAACUGGGAGACUUGAGUGCAGAAGAGGAAAGUGGAAUUCCAUGUGUAGCGGUGAAAUGCGUAGAGAUAUGGAGGAACACCAGUGGCGAAGGCGACUUUCUGGUCUGUAACUGACACUGAGGCGCGAAAGCGUGGGGAGCAAACAGGAUUAGAUCCUUGGGUAGUCCAAAAAAAA
rnacentral:rRNA from 1 species